UACAGAGGGGGCGAGCGUUGUUCGGAAUUACUGGGCGUAAAGGGCGCGUAGGCGGCCUUCUAAGUCGAACGUGAAAUCCCCGGGCUCAACCCGGGAGCUGCAUCCGAUACUGCCGUGCUAGAGGAUUGGAGAGGUAGCUGGAAUUCUUGGUGUAGCAGUGAAAUGCGUGGAGAUCAAGAGGAACACUCGUGGCGAAAGCGAGCUACUGGACAAUAUCUGACGCUGUGGCUCGAAGGCCAGGGUAGCGAAAGGG
rnacentral:rRNA from 1 species